rnacentral:sRNA from 1 species
GAAACGGUGAGGACGCUUGAUUGGUGCUUUUUCUGCAGCGUUUGGCUUCUCUCUGUCACUUCGUAUAUUUGUUUUGGUUUCGGUGAUUGUUUGUUAUACCUUAAGGAGUUGGAUUUGAAUUGCGUUUUCGGAUUUUUAUUUAUUUAUGGAAGUAGUGACAGAAAUCGGUUGAAUCUCGGAUAUUGUGUUUCCUAGGUAGACUGUUCUUGCCUUCUUGGAAUCGACGGUGAUCUUGCGAUUCUGUUGACGUCGAUCCCUUGUGAUGACGAUUGGUCUAACUCUUAACCUGUUAUUAAGAACUGAUUAAAUGAAUUUGUUUUGAUAUCUGUUCUUCUUGGAGUUUUCACAAAAGCAUUGCUACUGUUCAUUGUUGAACGUAAUUAAGAGUAUUGGCUAUCUUUUCAUUGGGUUAUGCUGUGCAGAUGGACAGAUGGUUCUUUUGGGUUUCUUUCCCCUGUUACGAGAUUUAUGGAGUUGGAGUGUUGGCAGCGUAGCUGUUUUUCGUGGACGGAAUUUGGUUUAGUCGUUGAGUUUUAUAUUUCUUCUUGUUUAUAAUUUUGGAAGUUUAGAAAAAAAUAUUUCAAUACAUGGUUUCUGCCUGCAGUGAUGUUGCUGCUAAUCCUUUUCUAAAGAGCUGAUCCUUCAACUUCCUCAUGGCCGUUACGAAGAGAUGGAUAAUACUGAGAUUUUGAUACUAUCUACAUCGAGAUUCGGGCUAAGUCAUCCAAUAGGUGCUGUUUGAGGUUAUCAGUUAGAAUUGAAGAAAAGACAGGGAUGGAAGAUUUGGAAGCAGUGGGUGUAUCUUUUAACAGAUGGACUGUGGGAUUCUCACGCUGGGGUGGAUAAUUCAUCAAUUUUGCAGCAGUUUAAAGCUUUUAGGCUUGGCAGUGUUUGAAGAAGUUAUUUUGAUACUUGAAUUUUUAGUGCAGUUGCUGCUUUUGCCUGGUUUUUACAUUUCUAAUUUCUUUAAUCUUUUAGUCUCCUGGUAUCUGGGCUAAGAACUUUUUAUGGAUUUUGGUAGGAAGCUUUGUGCAAUGUCUGUGUAACCAUACACGUUAUGUUGGGAGUAUGAAAAAUUCUAUAUAUUGGGUUGAUGGAGUCUGAAUAGAGAAGGGUAAGCAGAUGCAGAGACAAUUGAUGGCCAUGAUCUAUGUUUUCUCUUUCUAAUUGAUUUAAAUGAUCUUGAAGUUUUACAGGCAGUGAUCAUAUUGCUUCAUUGAACAGUAAUUGUUGUAGAUCCAGGGAUAAUUGAUGGCCAUGGUCUGUGUUGUGUCUUCACUUAAUAAUUCAUAAAUGGGGUUCAUCUAGAUGUUUAACAGGCAGUUAUCACCUUGCUCAUAAUAAGAACAUUAAUUUUCUGAUGUGAUUGUGAUGUGGACUUCGAUCCUAUUUGCAUUUCUUAUGGUGGGAGAGACCUUUCCAGGUAUCAAACUUUGUCAUAUUUCUUUGCGCAUCAGCUUUUGUUUUUGGUAAUGUCAGUCUUUCUGGCCUCCAAACAGCAUUUCAUCAGUAGCGGAAAAUGGAUCAUGGCUUUUAUCAGUUUGCUUGAUAAAGUCUUUUGUAUGCAUUGGUUGGUUGGCUGGACAUUGUGAUGGGGAAAUUUGAUAUCUUCAUUUCUUGCUAGUGAUUCUUGUUCAUUGUUGGAGGAUCUUUUACUUUUAUCUUCUUGUUUUAGAAAAAUAUAGAAGUUAGAAGCCGUUUGUCCUUUGUGUUGUUUGUUUUUCUGUUGACUGUUUUUUUUUCUUUUUGUUUGUGACAAUCUCGACUCCCGGUGUUCAUAGGUAGUUGUUGACAACAGCAAUGUUGGAAAUUCUAUCCUCAGCACAUAACACAGAUAUGAUACUAUGGUUAUAUAGAUAAAAUUUUUUCCCUCUUGGUUUUUUUCGCUUGUAAUAUCCUUUUACUAUGGUUGACCUCUUGGUUUUUAUUGCUUGUAAUAUCUUUUUUAUGGUUUUGUUUACUCAGGGUUGCGUAUUUUGAAUUUUUGAAUCCUGUCUCAAGUCAGACUCACGAGGAAAUUUGCUCCCUGGUUCUUAUCCAAUCUUUUUAAAAUUUUUAGUUUUGGAACUUUUAGGAUCCUGAGUAGUUAAUGUCACUGAGUGUGAUUUGACUUUUUGACCAUUUAUUGUUUUGGAUGCUGAUGUAGUUUCCACAAUUAAAAGCAGGAAGUGCAAGGAUGAAGACCUCGCUGCAUUUGGAAUAGGGGUGUUUCUCUAUGUUUUUCAUAAAUUUUUUUUUCUUCGUUUGGUUAGGUUUUUGUGCAGUAGGUUGCUUUGAUUGCUUUCUGUGCUUCAUGUUCUUGAUUCUUGGGUCUCCACGGGCUGCUGUUAAAAAUUAUUAGCAAUUAUGCUGAGAGAAUGAGAUCUCUUUGUGGAUGGAGAUUGGGUAAGUAGAUGAGGAGGUGACGCCAUUUUAAUUGUCUAUAUCUUACAUAUACCCAAAAUUUGCUUACUGGGGUCCCCGGCCAGAACCACACGUGCAAGUUUCCCUGCAUGUAGCUUGUCCAUGCUUUCCGAGGCACUGCCUGUGACUCAGCAUGAGAGAAGGGGGCGGAACUGCACUCUCUCGUGUUCAGAGCAUUGUCCGAGUGAGUAGGCAGCGCCUACCAAGCAAAGCUUUCUUGAGGAGGCUGGGCUGCUUCCUUUUGGAAAACCAACCCUUUUUAUUUAUCUAUACUAAAAGCUGUUUGGAAAGAUUCCGGUAAUCACUUGCUUGUUUCAAAAGGUUGCAGACAUCCUUGCUGAGUGGAACGGUAAUCUUAUGCUGACAUUUUUCCUGUGUUUGUGAUUGAUAACUAUAUGAAUCCUUCUGUGAUUGUAGGUAGCAAAUACUUUUCUUGUUUCUCAAUCUCUGCAGCUAGCGUAUAUUUCAGUUUUCAUUUCUUGGAUUUAUAAAGUCUAGUUUUAAUUAGUUUUUAUAAAUGUCUGGAACAUGUUACUUUGUGAGGGCUUCAAAUUGAAUGGAUUUCGUUUAACUGAAAAAAUAUCUUUGUAAUUCCAGCUUUUGUAGUGGUCCUAAUCAAUAUUUUUAUGUACAGUGGCUGCUUGGGCUUUACUAAUGGAAAAAUUUCUUACUUAGUCUUCUAUUUCCUGUUUUGGAUUCCUGUGUUCUGCGCCUAAUACUUUUAACUUUUACCCUUUUUUUUUUCAUAAAUCUCCUGCCCUUUAAGUUCUUAAACUUUUGCUAUUUUCUUUUUUGAUCAGAUGCUUCUGGAAGGAGAUCAAUUUGGUAUUUUUUGUGUUUUUUGUUGUCAGGUUUUGGAAGCCUAAACAUAAUCGAGGUGGUUUGCCUUUUAAAUCAUUUUUAUUAUCUAUUGCCUAGAUUCUCAAAAUUUAUUGAUAUGUGUUUUUUACAGGCAGUUGUCAACAACAGUGUGCUUAGUUGAUAAGUAAUUGUUUCUCUGGUAUUUUGAGAAAAAUAUCUUUAUAGUUCCAGCUAGUUUUUAUAAUGGUCCUAAUUAAUGGUUUUAUAUGCAGUGGUCAGUUGGGCUCUACUAAUGGAGAAACUUGUUGCAAAGUCUUGAUUUCCUUUUUUGGAUUCUUGUGUUCUGUUUCGUUAUCUUUCACCUUUUAGCUCUGUUUUUCUUAAGUUCAAAACUCCCUUGCCCUUUGUGUUUUAAAUGUUUAGCUUUUGUAUUUGUUUUUUGUUUUUGUUGUUAGAGGUUUUGGGGAGGCAAAACUUAAUGGAUUUGGUUUGACUACCUAGUUCUCUUCACUUUUUGGUAAGAAUUUGAAAGUUUUCUGAUAUAUGUGGUUGUUGAUGAGAUUCUUCAGCAUUUUGGAUUUAUGUUCUCAUAUUCUUGUAAUUUUUUUUCUCUUUUAUUUUUUCCCUUUUUGGCCUCUCUUUGUUCGCUUAGACUCAUGUUUUUGUUUGGUUGGUUUGUCUUGAUUUUGCAGUCCUGUAUUUAAAUGAUGUGUUGCUAAAGAGGCUUUUCGAUUUUUGUAGGUUCUGUUUGAGGUUAUCAGUUAUAAAUAUUAGAGAAUAUAAGAGCAGGAUUGAAGAACAGUGGUGGGUGAGGGUUUCUUGUGAAAGGUUCUUUUUACACUAUAUCUAUACAUCUCUCCAUUUGUCAGUCAGAUGUUCUACUUUAAUGUUUGGAGUAGGUGAUUUUGACUCAAAUUUUAUGGGAUGUUAUUUACGUGAAUCUUGGAUAUUGCUGAUUGUGGACAAUCUAAUAUUUGAGAUCUGGAAAGCAGAUCUGGGUUGAUUUGCAGUGUUUCUAAGACCAGUUUGUUGUUUAGCCUGAUUUUAUCUUACAUGCAGAUGUUGGGAUUCUUGAGUUGGAACGGAUGAUCCGUCAAUCUUUCAGCUGUAUAAGCUUCUAGGUUUGGCAAUGUUUGAAGUUAUUUGAUACAUGUAUUUUUGGUGCAGUUAUUUGACUGGUUUUUAACUUUUCUAACUUCUUUAUCCCUUAGUCUCUCUGUGCCUGUGAAUUUUCAGUGCAUUUUAGUAGGAAGUCUUAUCCAAUGUAUGUCUGGUUAUUCAUGUUAUGUUUAGGAGUGUAAGAUUGUUGUAUAUUGUGGUGGAUGAAGUUCAAAGAAUGAGGACAGAAAGGGUUAAGCAGAUGCAGAGAUAAUUAUUGAUCAUGGUCUAAGUUACCUCUUUCGCUAGAAUCCAUAACCUUGGGGGUUUAGCUUUAUGUUUUACAGGCAGGGAUCACUUUGGGACCGUAAUUUUCUGAUACACUAGUGCAUGGAGUUAUUAAAGUGGUACAUGUUGUAAUCCUGUUGUGGGAAGAUUAUUCCAGCAUUUCAAGUUCUGUGACUUUUUUCUAUACAAAAUUUGCUUCUCUCAUAGCUUUGAAGAGUAUUUGGAAAUUAAAGGCAUAUUUUCAGUGAUUGGGCUUUUUUUUUUUAGUUUUUGGACACAGAAGUAGAGGAGAGGAAGAUAUUGCUUGUAAAGGACUUUGGACAGGAUGGAUUUGACUGAUUUCCAUUUUCUCUAAAUAUAUUGCCCAUUAUGGUAAAUGGUAUAUCUAUGCAUUUGGUUCGCUGGCUGUAUUGGUUCUUAUUUGAUCGUGUUGUGGAACCCCUGAGUGACAGGAAUUAGUCUUGGAUGUACUUUUGAUGUAGAAAAUUUGUAGCUACGGCCACCAGCAGGGGAAUCCAGAACAGGUCAAUCUUGCAUUUAUGGUUUCCAAUAAGAAAAUGCUGGCUUCUCUUCUCUUUGGCGUCUGAGCGUUUCUCUUCAGCAGUUGUUUCUAAUUUUCUUGGCAUAUUGGUUUUGGUUUCUUCAAUCGUUUGUUUUAUUUUUCAUAAUCGGAUUUCAUUUGUCAAGUGGAUUUUUUUUAUGAGUCCAAUCCAAACAGAAGUAGAUGUUGGAUGAAUCUUGUUUGUAGAUUGUUCUUGGAGUAUUAAGAUCUUGUGAUUCUCUUGA